rnacentral:rRNA from 1 species
UACGGGGGGGGCAAGCGUUGUUCGGAUUUACUGGGCGUAAAGGGCGCGUAGGCGGCGCGACAAGUCACUUGCGAAAUCUCCGGGCUUAACCCGGAGCGGCCAAGUGAUACUGUCGUGCUGGAGUGCGGAAGGGGCCACCGGAAUUCUCGGUGUAGCGGUGAAAUGCGUAGAUAUCGAGAGGAACACCUGCGGCGAAGGCGGGUGGCUGGGCCGACACUGACGCUGAGGCGCGAAAGCCAGGGGAGCGAACGGG